GUUCUAUCGGACCUCCAUUUCCACGGAUAGGGUUUCUUCCCCUGCAAAUCUAACUUCUGCGAAAUUGCUUCAAUCAAUCCGAUACAAUGGCGAUGAGGAAUUUCUACAACGAGAUCAAAGGUAAAAAGGUGACGGAGAUUCCCAACCAUGUGAAGCCGUUGCUUUCCUUUGACUAUAUCAAGAAUGCUGUUAAGAGAGGCUUGGACAACUAUAGCGCCAAGUACAUCGAGACCGACUCCAUUACUCCUCUCUACCAUGUAUGCUUUGGGGGCAUGAUCUUCUCCUACCUUGUCGCGCUCCCCCACGAGCGCCGUCACCUGGAGCACCAGCAGCAUGCUAAGGAACAUGGCCAUGGCGGCCACUAAUUUCUCCAUCAUCGAUAUUUCAGGUUUUCAAAUCUUUGGAAUUCCCUCACAAUAAAUGCCACCUCAAUGCUUUCCCCCGCCGUUACGCUUGUUUUGGCGGUCGAUAGAUGAUGUUUUCCUUCUGAUGACAGGAUCCUGGUCGGUGAACUGGAGGUGGCCUUUUGACUGAUCCUGUUCUUUUAAAGUUAUGUGAAUGAUGAAGGCAGAAUAUACUGUUACAUAAAAUAAUGUCAAUUUGAUGCAAUACUCAAUUUUCUUGCAUUUUAAUUUCUGUUAUGAGAAAUGCGUUGUUUAGUGUUCUUGUGAUCCAGUUCAGCUAACAUUGAUUAAGAAAAUUUACAAUGUUGAAAGAAGGAAAUACGCCAUGUUUCCUACAAUCUAACUGUGAAUUUAAAGCUAAAAAUGCUUCUAGCCA